GGUUGUGGCUCAGUGAUAGAGCGCUCGCCUAGCAUGUGCGAGGCCCUGGGUUCGAUUCUCAGCACCA
rnacentral:tRNA from 1 species